UCUUCUUGUUUGACCGACUUUUAACUGCAGGUGUUUGUUUACCUGUCUGCCCGGUCCCAAGAAGGCAGGCUCGCGCCGCUUGGGCUCUGCUACUCCAUGAGCCCCACAAGGGCGGACUGUACCAACCAGGCUCAGGGAGGAGGGGGGGAUUCAGUAAACACGGCGAGCUACUUUCACCAGAAGCCACGUCAGGAAUUAGUCUGCUCCCAAACUAUAGCUCCCAGCUUUUAUUUAAACCUCGUACCGACCCAGAUAUCCCUCUCUGACCGCGUUUCGUCGCUCUCUUGUCGAGUGCUGUUGAAUUUUCCUGCUGCUGGAGAGGAAAAGCAACACGCUGCGAGAGAGCAAGAGGGAGGAAAACAACA